rnacentral:rRNA from 1 species
AUGAGCUUACCUGCCAUUGGGAUCAUUGGUGCCAUCAAUGAAUGCGUCACUUUGUUUCAGUGGGCCAAAUCUGCCAUUUCAUCUCUGCAUUCCCGAUGGAGUGGCUCACAGGAGCAAAGCCUCCAGGAUGGUGUGUUGCUAUUGGAGAGUGGACUACAGCGCCUCAGGGAUACUCUUCCUGCAAUGUAUGACCUAAUCAACAAAGCAGAGUGGAGAAGCCAUGAGAAAAGUGUGGCCAAACUGCUUCCCAAUCUCAAGGAUGCAGUGUAUGAGGCCGAGGACCUUCUCGAUGAGUUCAAAUGGUACGAGAUGAAGGUGAAAGUGGAGGUCAUUGCAAGCCAAUCUGCUUUUAUUGAAUUUUUUGAUACGGUCAUCCAAGGCAGCUUCAACAAACUGAAUGAUGUCCAGUUGAGGUUGGAUCACCUUUCGAGACAGUUGGAGAAUAUGGGACUUUGUGGAGUUACACAACGCUUUGACAAAUUAGUCAGGCCUGAGACCACCUCUCUGCCAAAUGAAACAAAAAUAUUUGGUCGUGACGAAGAGCUGGAGCAGGUGUUGGGAUUUCUUAAUGUACCUACAAAUUCAAAACGCAAGCGAGCAACUAGUUCAACUAAUGCAUCAACAAGCGCAUCAGCAAGCAACCAAGUUAGUAAUGAAUCAAGAAUAUCUAGUAUUCAUGUUCUGUCAAUAGUUGGAAUUGGGGGUGUAGGAAAGACUACUUUGGCCCAACAUAUCUCCAACCAUCAACGAGUGAAGUCACACUUUGAGCUAAUAAUUUGGGUUUGUGUCUCAGAUAAUUUUGAUGUAAAGAGGUUAACUAAAGAGGUCAUACAAUCUUGUAACGGAAAGGAGGAAACAUUUGAUAAUUUGGAUUCUCUUCAACAUGCUCUUUCAAACCAUGUGGACAAAAAAAGGUUAUUGAUUGUCCUUGAUGAUAUGUGGGAUGAUGCCCUGAAGGAAAAUGGGCAGCGCUGGAAGAGGUUUUGUGCACCUUUUAGAAGUGUCCAAGAGGGAAGUGUGAUGUUGGUCACCACUAGAUGUCCAACAGUUGAUGAGGGGGUGCGCACAAUGAAUCCUGUUAUAUUGGAAGGUCUAGAGGAUGACGCUUUUUGGAAUUUCUUCAAAUUGUGUGCGUUUAGAUCUGAGAGUUCUUACAAUAAUCCCGAGUUGGAAUGCAUUGGUAGAAAAAUACUUCCUAAACUGAAGGGUUCUCCCCUGGCCGCCAAAACUCUCGGUCGCAUGUUAAGCAUGGACCUUCAAACAUCACAUUGGAAUUCUAUACUUGAGAGUGAACUUUGGGAGUUGAGUCAAGAAGAGACUGACAUUUUACCUGCCCUUCGGUUGAGCUUCAUGUAUUUGCCAUUCCAUUUGAAGCAAUGUUUCUCAUUCUGUGCUGUGUACCAAAAAGAUUACAAAUUUGAGAAGGUUUCCUUAGCUGAGAUUUGGAGAGCAGAAGGCUUUGUGCAUCCUCAAGGUGGUGCUGCAAUUCUAUCUACAAGUUUGCAGUAUUUUGAAGACCUUGUGGCACGGUCCUUCUUUCAAUGUGUUGGUACCAGAUAUGUCAUACAUGACUUGAUGCAUGACAUGGCACAAAAGGUUUCAGAGCACGACUGCUUCAUCUUAAGAAAUAAGAGUGACUUUGAUAAAGUCCCCCAGAGUGUUCGUCAUCUGCACAUACUCCCUAAUUGUGACUUUGAUGAUUCUAACUUGUUGAGUCUAUGCAAGUUCACGAAGCUGCGUACCCUAAUAUGUGAUAAGAAAUUAGGGAACAGAUCAAUCUUUGUAAUGCGUGAAUGGGGUACUAAACUUCUGCGUAUGCGUGUUUUUUCUUCUGCCUUCAUAAAUCAGUUACCGGAUAGUAUUGGCAACUGGAAGCAUCUUCGGUACCCUGAAAUCUCCAGAAUUUCUCCUUUGAACAGGAUUCCUUCAACUUUCUGUUGGUUAUAUAAUCUGCAGACUUUAUAUGCCAAGCAAUGCAAGCUAGAAAGCUUACCCAGUGACUUUGGUAAGUUGAUCAAUUUAGAGAGUUUUUGGUCACAGGGAUUUUCAUAUUCUGCCGGUGGUGAGAUGGAACUUGAUUCAGCCAUGGGGUUAGGACGUGUAAUUAGGUUAAUGAAGAAUCUGAACCAAUUUCAUGGAAAGUUGACUAUAAAUAAUGUUCGGGUCCUAAGUACGGAAUAUGCAGCAGAAUUUGAACUGAAGAAUAAGAAGUAUCUAGAAGAGUUGUCACUGAUGAUGGGUUCAUCGAUGGAAGGCAGCUUAGAGUACCAGAACAAACAAGUCCUUGAAGUUUUGCAACCUCCUAUCAGUGUAAAGUCUCUGUAUCUUGAGGAUUAUGCCAGUGCCUCGCUCCCAAGCUGGUUUCUACCACACAACUUGCCAAGCUUAAAAUUGCUUACUUUUGUAUGCUGUGUUCGACUUGGGAGCAUAUCAUCUCCCUCGACGUCAGCAUCAGUACCAACUGAAAGGUUUGUGGAUUUUCAUUCCCUUGAAGAACUGAAAAUGGAUUACAGUCCAAACAUCAGCACCCGAAGAUUGGUAUCACCGUCCCUUAAGAAGCUCGAUCUAUCGUAUUCUGGCAUCUUUUGCAGUAUUGACUGCUUCUCCCUCACCAACUUUAAUUUAACAUGUCCAUAUGUCACAUCCAUCCAACUACAAAUGUGGAGCCUUCCAUCUCUACGGAGGUUGAGCAUUAUCUGCAGUUCUCUUGCAUAUAUUGAAGGCAACACUAGAACAUUCCCGUCCCUCAAUGUCCUAAAGGUUUCAUCCUGUCCUGAGUUGUUAACCCUUGAUGGCAUCCUAACGCAAGAAUAUCUACCCGCUAUUGAGGAAAUUGACAUCAGGCAUUGCCCCAAGCUACCGUCUCUGCCCAUUGUGUAUUGUCCAAAUCUGAAACAUCUAGUGGUUGAUGAGUGCCCAAGUCUCAACUGGCAAAGGGGAUUGGUGUUACCAUCCUCUCUCCAAAAGCUCGGCUUAACACAAUGUGGGGAUAUCUCACCAUAUGUUCCCAGCUGCCUACUAGGCCUCAAAUCCCUCGUCUCGCUGAGCAUUGGUGGCCAACGUAUAACAUCCAUUCCAGGCGACAUUUGGCAUAGUAAUCUUCCAUCACUGGAGGAGUUGGUGAUUUCGGGUUGUCCAGAUCUAGUUUCAAUUGGUGGAACAAACGCAGUUACGAAAAUAAAGGAGGUGGUGAUCAUCAAGUGUCCAAACUUAACGGAAGCUGACAGGAUCAAUCGAAGACCACGCCCAAGGAACUAA